UUUCAGGGCAGGGUGAAAUUCCCGAUCGGAGGUAAAAGUCCUCGAGCCUGCUUUGUUCCGAAGUAGGCAGAACCGGUGAAACUACGGUACCGACAGUUACAGUCUGGAUGGAAGAAGU
rnacentral:ncRNA from 1 species